rnacentral:tRNA from 1 species
GCCGGAUUAGCUCAGUUGGCAGAGCAUUUCAUUCGUAAUGAAAAGGUCACCAGUUCGAAUCCGGUAUCCGGCACCA